UGAACAAAAAUGUGCCAGGGCUACUUAUUUUAUUGCAUUUUUAUUACAAGUUUACCUCCAAGGAGCCCAAUGUGGCAUAGAUGGUUCUCUCCCUCCUCAUUUACCGUAAUCACCGCAACAACACUGUGAGGUAAGUUAGACAGGCACUGACUGACACCCACCCACCCCCCAGUCACCUAGUGAACUUCAUGGCCAUGUGGGGAUUCAAACUCUGGUCUCCCAAGUCUCAGCCAACACUCUAGCCACUGCACCACACUGCCUCUCCUUUGACCUUGCUAUGGCAUAAAAUCCUGCCUGGACCGUCUCAUGUUUUGGACCUGACCUUCGGAACACUUGCCCCCCAAAAUAAGUUACCUUUGCUUGGAGGAAAAAUACCUGCUACUUUUUCCUCUUUUUAAAGGCAUGCCUUCUCCAAAGUGUACAUGGCUCUUUUAAUAGUGUAAUCUUCUGUUUUGCCCUUGGGAUAUUUCUAAUCUAACAUCCAGGCUUUUAAGACAGAAUUCCCCGUUUGAUCUAGGAUUUGGUUCAGGCCCCUUCAGAACCUGCCGCUCACUCAUCCCUCGAAACCUUUGUGCAACCUCCGUCCCCCGUCCUGCCUGUGUUCCCUUUGAUCUCAGGAGAACCAAAUUUAUUCUGUUUAUAAUUUGCCGGCUUGUUAAAUGCUCCCGUGGCAGUGGUGCGGAGGAGGAAGGCCCCGCUGGAUGACUGGCCCUUUCCAUAAAGGAGAUCUGUAUUUUCGUAUUAAGGCUGGAACUAAAUGAUUUUAGGCGUGAACCCCAGAAUAGAGCACCGGAGACUGUUUUGCAAGGAGCCCAGGGGGAUGAACUAAAUGACCUAAUAGGAUUUCCCCCAUCUUUUACCUUUGAUGCUUCAAAGGGCUCCCUAAGGGUGGGGCCCCCUAUCUGUCCUCUUCUAUUUUCCAUGCAGAAACCUAAGAUCUGCCUGCUUGAUAGCUUCCAAACACUGUGUGCUGUGCAGCGACUUUCUUCCUCUAAUUCUGUCUUCCCCAAAACCAGUGACCUCUGGGAGAUUUGGAGCUGAUGGAAGCUGUAAUGCAGUGGUGUCAUGGACCGGCUGGAUGCAGAGAAGUGGUGGGAGCCACAAGCUGGGGAACCCUCAAGGGAACCCCCAGGGGAAGAAGGCUCUUAGAAUCAGAAUCAAAGAAAAGCCCUCAAUGACUAGGACCCAAAUUAUCUCAGGGCCUUCCUGAUUCCUGGUUCUUCAAUCACUGAGAAUCUCUGGUGGUUCCCAGCACCCCCAGUUUCAUCUAGUCUUCACUCGGGAUGUACCCUUUAGUGUGACAAGCCAAGCCCUGUGGAACUCCCUGCUACUAGAGGGUACGUCUGCCCCCUUGAAAAUCCUGUUUAUCGUUUCUGAAUCUGUUUCUGGAGUAAAGGACGUAAAGUGGAAUAUCGUUCAUCUAUGGCCGACUGCGAUCUGAUGCUAAGAGUCACUAGCAGACCUGGUUACGUUAAAAGACCUGGGUCUAGAGUCAGGCUAGUUACUUAUCCAGACCUCAUGGCGAGUUCUUUUUGCUGAGUUGCUCUUCAGAUGCCCUUAUGUCCAAAGGGGCUCCAAGUGAGCUAACCAACCAGCGGGCCAUUUCCCCUCUUGCAGGAUGGCUUUCUUCUUAAAGAAGAAGAAGAAAAGUUCAUCAAAAGUUUAUCCAGUUAAUUUACAAGAGAGUGUCGCCCAGGACCCUGCUGCCCAAAGAACAUACCAACUCUUGCCAGUGCUGGUGAAGCCUCCUCAAGCAUGUGCAGAGGCCUGGAGGAAGAACCAAGUCCAGCCAGUUGUUUUCCCUGAGUUACUACAGCACCAGGCCAGUACAGUUCAGCGGGUCAGCAGCAGACCAGACGAAAAGCAUUCUGGGCCAGUGUUCCCAGAUGCGUCUUAUGGAGCAAAAGAUACAGUUUUAGUUUGGCAUUUGUGUUCCCUUUUAAUAAGAAUAAUAAGUGCUGGGGAGGCGAGAGAUUCACACUGUGGCCCGAAAUAACAAGGUGGAGCCAGUAGUCUUCCCGGAGCUGGUACAGCGCCAGACCAGCACCCUUCAGCCAGUCAACAGAAGGCCAGACUCCAGGCAGCAGCGGCACUUGCCCCUACUGAAAAAGAAGAGCCCCAAGGAUUCUGGGCCACUGUUCCCAGAACUCUCAGAUGAAAACUUUGGGGAAUUGUUGACGGUAAGAAGAUGCUGGGAGGUAGAACAUUCAGAGAAACUUUGGAGAUGAUGGAUGAAAGGGAAAUUUUAGACACCAUCCUCCAAGACCCCCAUCCACUUCCCCAGGUGUGUGUGAUGCAGGAAGACUUUGAGUGAUGCCUAGAGCAGAUCGAUAAGAGAGGAAACGAAGACAAGAUUUUGGGUAUUUCCCGGUACUUUGAAUAUAUAAGUGUGAUUGUAUAGCCUUGUUUUGAAUAAAGUCAUUCAACUUGUGAA